rnacentral:lncRNA from 1 species
AUGAACCCAGCAGUUGCCCUCCUUGGACUACGCCAGGGGACUCGUCCCAUUAAGGAUUAUGUGGAGGAUUUCUGUUCUUUGUGCCACUUAGUGGACUUCAAUGAUGUGGCCCUCAAAGACAUUUUCCAUUUUGGACUCACAAAAGAAAUCUCUUUGUUAAUGCCACGACACACAUCUCACUGGACUCUGACUAGCUAUAUCGACUUUGCACUCCGGUUGAGUGGUUCCUCGUUUAUGAGAAACCCUGCUAUCCUCCAGUACCUACCACACCGGAGCAUUGUGAUGUCCCGCCUGUCAGAGGAGGCGGCUUCCACUGCAGAACCUCCCGAGGUGGUGGCGCCCACCUUCAAACUCUCUGCCUGUCCUGCCACGGCCAAGGAAGCCAUGCACGAACUCACUGCCUGUCCUGUCACGGCCAAGGAGGCCGUCCACGAACUCUCUGCCUGUCCUGCCAUGGCCAAGGAGGCCGUCCACGAACUCUCUGCCUGUCCUGCCACGGCCAAGGAGGCCAUCCACAAACUCUCUGCCUGUCCUGCCUCUGCCUGUCCUGCCAUGGCCAAGGAGGCCGUCCACGAACUCUCUGCCUGUCCUGCCACGGCCAAGGAGGCCAUCCACAAACUCUCUGCCUGUCCUGCCACAGCCAAGGAGGCCAUCCACAAACUCUCUGCCUGUCCUGCCACGGCCAAGGAGGCCGUCCACGAACUCUCUGUCUGUCCUGCCAUGGCCAAGGAGGCCGUCCACGAACUCUCUGCCGGUCCUGUCAUGGCCAAGGAGGCCAUGCACGAACUCAUGUAUGUAAUGUCUGUUUUGGGCUAUGUUUUCAUGUCUUUUAUUUUGUUAUUGUUUGAUUUUGCUGUUUGUGUCAUGCUUCCCUUGCCCUCUUCUUGUCUUGCUAUUGGUUCCUCUUGUUCCUUGUGUCAUGUUCCGAUUGGUUGUCUUAGUCAUGUGUCUUGUUUCCCAUCAUGUUUUUGCCAUUGUCUCUUGUCGUGUAUAAAUGUAGUAUUGCAACCAGCUGUCGGUGAGUCUAGUCUGUUCAUGCCACGUCAAGUCUGUUUCGUCAAGUCUGUUCAUGCCACGUCUGUCAGGGACACCACCGGACACAGAUGCAGGUUUCAGUAUGAGACCAAUUUAUUUAACAUGUCCAAAAGAAACUUCAUCAAACGAACAAAAACAGGCAAGGAAAAUCAGAAAAAUAGUCCAACAGAAAAAUUUGAGGUUUCAAUGUCCUUGUGA